AUUUAAUGUAAAAUACCAAUUAGGAAAACAAGGGUUGGCCAGGAAGAUUAUGGGUUGCAUUUUGGACCUGCAUGGUUGACACAGACAUUGCAUUCUCCGCCCUUGCUGAGGAGAAUUAAACUAAUGUCCUACUAUCUGUGGAGAAUAGUAAUGACCUUGCUUUAUUACUCACCCCAAGACCAUUUUCUAUCCAUCAGAAGAAACUAGGCAUUGUGUGAGGUCAUCCUGUAAUUGCAUUUAGUCCACACAUCCAUUUAAGAUGCUAUAUUUGAAACAAGACUCAGAGGGCAUAUUUCUUUAGCCCAAGCCACCUACCUAGGAAAUCGAGAAGGCAAGAUUUGAACUCAGACCUAAUUGAUACCAGGGACAAGACUUCUGCAAUGCCAACUUCAUGGCAUGGAUUACUCUGAGUCAUCAAAAGAGCAAAACCAAGCUAUGACAACCAAAGCAGCACUCCAGAGAUGGAACUGGAUUGGGAGAGAGUGCACUAGUGCCA
rnacentral:lncRNA from 1 species